GCGAACGGGUGCGUAACGCGUAGACAAUCUACCUGCAAGCGGGGGAUAACUACUGGAAACGGUAGCUAAUACCGCAUAUUGUCCAGGCACCGCAUGGUGGCUGGAUCAAGGCCGCAAGGCGCUUGCAGAGGAGUCUGCGUCCGAUUAGCUCGUUGGUGAGGUAACGGCUCACCAAGGCAACGAUCGGUAGCUGGUCUGAGAGGACGAUCAGCCACACUGGGACUGAGACACGGCCCAGACUCCUACGGGAGGCAGCAGUGAGGAAUCUUGGGCAAUGGGGGAAACCCUGACCCAGCCACGCCGCGUGGAGGAAGAGACCCCUAAGGGGCGUAAACUCCUUUUCUGCGGGAAGAACCCCCGGGUAUUCCCGGGCUGACGGUACCGCAGGAAUAAGGGCCGGCUAACUCCGUGCCAGCAGCCGCGGUAAUACGGAGGGCCCAAGCGUUGUCCGGAAUUAUUGGGUGUAUAGGGUCCGCAGGCGGGGCAGUAAGUCGGAGGUGAAAUACCUCGGCUCAACCGAGGAAGUGCCUUCGAAAC
rnacentral:rRNA from 1 species